CUCCCAGCAACAGAGACACAAUAGAACUGGUAGAGCAACUCGUAGAGAGCAAAAAAUAUAUACGGCAAAAACAAGCAAUUUCAACCUUUCUUGGAAUCAAGCAAAUACAAAAAAAAAAUUGUUAAAUACCAUAAGUUCUAUCCCUUAUAAUAAAUAGAAAGAAAACCAAGGUUUCUAUUUCAGAUUAGCCAAAUUUAUUAAGAUCACUGGGAAACAUGCAUGAGAAUUAUCAAGGUAGGAUCAGUGACCGGUAAGAAGAUAAAGUGGGUUCACAGGAUAAAAAUCACAUUCUCCCUUUUUGGGAAGCAGAGGUUGGGAAUAAAUAACUAAGGGUUUCAGAUCCAGACAGGAGCUGUCAGACUGUAGGUAAUCUGCAAAUCACAUCAGAAUUAUCCCAAUCUAGUGUGGGAACACAAGGGCAUGGGAAUCAAGGCUGGUGAAGCAUGAAGUUACAUGUGCAGGUGAUAAAAGUCUCCCGUGGUGCCCUCAAUAGUAGUAGCCAAAGCCACAGCCGUAGCCAGAGCCGCAUCCAUAGCCACAGCCACAGAGAGAGCGGGAGCCAUACCCGUAGCCACAGCCAUAGCCUCCAUAGCCACAGCCUCUGUAGCCACAGCCAGAGCCACAGCCAUGGAGAGAGUGGGAGCGAUAUCCAUAGCCACAGCCAUAGCAGGAGCCAUAGCCACAGCCCAGGCCUCCAUAGCCGCAGCCUCCAUAGCCACAGCCUCCAUAGCUGCAGCCUCCAUAGCCACAGCCUCCAUAGCCGCAGCCUCCAUAGCCACUGCCUCCAUAGCCACAGCCUCCGUAGCCACAGCCUCCGUAGCCACAGCCUCCAUAGCCGCAGCCUCCAUAGCCACAGCCUCCAUAGCCGCAGCCUCCAUAAGAGUUUCCGUAGUAGCUUCCACACAUGGUGUUGGCUGUUGAGGUUAUGCUUGGGUAGAGAAGGAGAGAAGUGUCACUUCACUGUGGACGAUUCCCCUGCAGAGGGCCUUUUAUAUGCCCUCAGUGUGUGUGGGACCCACCACACAAGUCAGGCCACUGGAUAAUUUGCAAGACCUCUCUGAGUAAUUUGUUCACUCCUGGUUUUCAGGUAUGGCUUCAGGGGUAAUGAAGACAUUUGCUGUUGUGCCACAACCUGAAUCAUUUGUGAAUCAUUAAUAAGAAUCAAUUGUCUCAUCUUCAAAACCUUACUUACACAAGACCUUCAAAUUAGCAAUUUGUAACCAGCCUUUAUGAUAAGAAACAACAUUUGUAGUAGACAUUCCGGGCUCCAAACAACCAAUUUUUUUACCCUUUUUUGGCUGACAUCCAACAGGCCAUAAUAAUCUACCUUCAUUUGAGAUUCUCCAUCUCUUCUGUUCCAAACUCGUUUUUUUUUUUUUUCUCUUUAGGGAUUUUCCAUAUUUUCACAUGAGAGAUGGUUUACUAGGAAAAGCCAAAAGGUAUCACUCAAUUUCAUGAGACCAUCGACAAAAAGCCAACAGUUUGAAAUUCUGGACCACCAGUCCCGGGAAGACUGUGCUUUUCUUUUUCACUUACAUUAAUAUUUCCUUCUAGGAUUCUAUUUUUAAAACAUCAUUUUUUUUCACGGUUUCAAAUUUAUGUCUGCAUCUAUAGCCAGAAAACAGAAAUGAAAUUUUAUUUAAUUUAUAAAAUUGCAUUUUCAUGAAAGAGUUUUCUUUAAAAUCCAACACAUUUGUAACGUUUGUGUUUUGACUCAAAGGUGAAUAUAGGCAUUUCUUUCUUUAAAAUAACAAUACUGGCAGAGAUAUUUUUCACGGUGCUAAUAGCGUUUCAACAACAAGCAAUGAAGUCUUGGUAAAAUAUCUUGGAUUAUGAGAAACGUUAAUACGUUUCUAAUGCCCAGUGCUUUUUAAUGCAAUGAGGCUCUGAGCUUACUGCAAUAAUUAAG
ensembl:lncRNA